CCCAGACUGUGUGUGGCUGGAGCGGUCGGCUGAGGAGUGAGGCGAUACGGCGGUGCUUUAGUCUGACGGUUGCACAAUGAAUGGAACGAAGAUGACCCAGCAGGGAUGUCAUAAAGGAGAACAGAGACGCCUUUCAUCUACCCGGGAGAAGGAAAUCGGCAGCAUCCUGUGUCUGCUGGUGUCUGGUCCUCGGAGAUCUGAGGGAUCUGUAAGGAGAGCAGGAUGCCUGGUUCAGCAGGCAUGAGUGCCUGUUUGCAGGCACUGGUGAUUCAGAGACGAAGGUGACACGACCACUGCUCUCAAGGAGUACGUAGUUUAGUAGGGGAGAAAACCACACCAUGAACUUCGAUGGCCGACACCCAGAGAGGACCUGUCCCACCCUCCACAAGACUCUACUGCUACGUCUGCCACUUCUUCACUGGCCCAUCCUUUGCCUUCUCUCCACCUCUACUGCCCUCCCCGCCUCCCCCCACCCCUGGACAGCUAGGAAACCCACAGCCUCAGUCCCUAAUUCCACAUCGGCUGCUAUUCUGCUGCCACUGGGUGCUGUUGAAGAAGUCACAGAAGCACAGACUUAGAAGGCUAUGAAUUCAAGCUGCUUGCCUUCAAAUUUCUUCUCAGAAAUACUUUUACUCAAUUUCAUUAGCUUCUGAGAGCAGGCAUUCCCAACCAGCGGUCCCCUGACCUCUAAAAUUAUACACAUAAUUUUGUGUGUACGUUCUUUUUUUCCUCUGGGUUCAUCAUAUUAUUCAUUGCAAUAUUAAAGAGAUCACAGGGGGCAUCUGGGUGGCCCAGUGGAUUAGGUG